rnacentral:lncRNA from 1 species
CCAAAGGACAAGUCCCACUGUCCAGGGCAGCAGUUGAGAUUCAGCACACCAGGAAAUGUCCUUCAGAGUGUCUGGGGUACACACUACAGCAGGAUGGCACUCAGAGGCAUCACCUCACUCCCUGAAGCCCUGCACUGGAAAGGCAAGAAGGGCAGAAACCACCAGUUUGGUGACUGCAGUGGCUAUCCCUCUUUCACUCACUUGCUCUUGUAGAGCCUGAGGGAGACGAUUAAGUUUUUCUCUGAUGAUUUUCAUUUCUUCUUCCUGCCUCUUCUCCUUUGCCUUCAUCUUAGUGUCAAUUUUCUGAAACUCCGUGUCCAGCUGUUCCUUCAAGUUCUGUAAAAUACAAGAGAGAGGAUCUUUCAUGAGUGGAGUGGCUGCCACUCUUUCACUCACCUGGUCUUGUUGAUCGCCCCUCUGCUGACGGAGAUUCAUCUCCUCUUGAAUUCCUCUCAUGUCUUCCUUGUUCCCCUUCUUCACUUCCAUGAUGGCACUCUGAGCCCCGGGCAGCUCUGCUUGUGACUCUGCCUUGAUGUUCUGUACACACAAAUGCAGAGCAAGUGACUGGGAGCUGCCAUCAGGCUCAGCUUUUUCCUCUCGCAGCUUCAAAAUCCCAUUUAUUCAGCCACUUCUUUCUGCUUCCCUACCCACCUCUGCUUCCAGUGCAACCCUCCUGUCCCAGUGCUGACUUUGGCAGAUUCCAAGGCUCUGUGCUUUCAGUGCCUCUGGGACUCCUGACCUCCUCAGUCCCAAGAGCUCCAUUUUAUGCCCCUUUUCCUGCCCUUCCCUCUGAAACCUGGCGAGUCAGGCUUACCUGGCCAUUCUCCUGUGGCUCUUCCACCUGCUGCCUGAGCUGCUCUUCCUGCUCUCGGGCUGGGAACAGCUCUCCCCGAGUCUGCCAUGGCAUCUCUGACAAAGCAGGCUGCUCCUGCUCUUUCUCUGGAAGGACCUGCACAGAAAGCAAGAGAAGAUGGGUUUCAACUUUCCAUACAACAUUUGAGGGCCAAGACUCAAGGACUGAUGGGCUCACACGUUCCCAAAGCACUGUGCUGCAGCUCUCCUGGGUCAUUCUCUGCCCAUGAGGAGGCACAGAUGCCAAAGUGACCCUGGCACUGCAAUCAGGGGCCAUCUGGGGC